rnacentral:rRNA from 1 species
AGUGAACGCUGGCGGUAGGCCUAACACAUGCAAGUCGAACGGCAGCACAGGAGAGCUUGCUCUCUGGGUGGCGAGUGGCGGACGGGUGAGGAAUACAUCGGAAUCUACUCUGUCGUGGGGGAUAACGUAGGGAAACUUACGCUAAUACCGCAUACGACCUACGGGUGAAAGCAGGGGACCUUCGGGCCUUGCGCGAUUGAACGAGCCGAUGUCGGAUUAGCUAGUUGGCGGGGUAAAGGCCCACCAAGGCGACGAUCCGUAGCUGGUCUGAGAGGAUGAUCAGCCACACUGGAACUGAGACACGGUCCAGACUCCUACGGGAGGCAGUAGUGGGGAAUAUUGGACAAUGGGCGCAAGCCUGAUCCAGCCAUACCGCGUGGGUGAAGAAGGCCUUCGGGUUGUAAAGCCCUUUUGUUGGAAAGAAAUCCAGCUGGCUAAUACCCGGUUGGGAUGACGGUACCCAAAGAAUAAGCACCGGCUAACUUCGUGCCAGCCGCCGCAGUAA